GACGAACGCUGGCGGCGUGCUUAACACAUGCAAGUCGAACGGAAAGGCCCUGCUUUUGUGGGGUGCUCGAGUGGCGAACGGGUGAGUAACACGUGAGUAACCUGCCCUUGACUUUGGGAUAACUUCAGGAAACUGGGGCUAAUACCGGAUAGGAGCUCCUGCUCCAUGGUGGUGGUUGGUAAGUUUCGGCGGUUGGGGAUGGACUCGCGGCUUAUCAGCUUGAUGGUGGGGUAGUUGCUUACCAAGGCUUUGACGGGUAGCCGGCCUGAGAGGGUGAACGGCCACAUUGGGACUGAGAUACGGCCCAGACUCCUACGGGAGGCAGCAGUGGGGAAUAUUGCACAAUGGGCGGAAGCCUGAUGCAGCAACGCCGCGUGCGGGAUGACGGCCUUCGGGUUGUAAACCGCUUUCGACUGUGACGAAGCGUGAGUGACGGUAACGGGUAAAGAAGCAACGGCUAACUACGUG
rnacentral:rRNA from 1 species